rnacentral:lncRNA from 1 species
GUUGCCAGCCUACACCACAGUCACACCAAUGUGGGAUCCAAGCUGUGUCCUCUACCUAUAAUGCAGCUCAUGGCAAUGCCGGAUCCCCAACUCAUUGAGUAAGGCCAGGGAUCGAACCUAUGUUCUCAUGGAUACUAGCCAGAUUCAUUACCACUAAACCACAAUGAGAACUCCCUUUUCUUUGUGUUUAAUUUUAUACCACUUAAAAGGGAUCCUCAAUAAGAUUAACAGUCAAUUUCUGAUCAGAAAUCAUAGAUGCCAGGGGGCAGUGAGAUGACAUUUAAAAUUCUGAAAGAUAAAAAACAGUCAAUGAAUAACUUCUUACCUAUUCUAUUGCUGUCUAAACAUUCUCUUUGUCUUUGGUUUUCAAUAAUUCAAUUAUACUGUCUCAAUGGGGACCUCACUGAGUUUGUACUAUUCAGAAUUUGUUGAACUUCUGGAUGUAUAGACUCAUGCCUUUUAUCAAAUCGAGGAAGUAUCUGUCAUUAUUUCUUCAAAUAUUAUUUUUGUCCCUUGCUGUAUCUCCUCUCUGCUGAGACUCCCGGUUAUGCAUAUGUUGGUACACUUGUUGGUAUCUCACAGGUCUCUUAGGCUCUAUUCAUUUUUUUUCUUUUUAUGACCACACAUGCAACAUAUGAAAGUUCCCAGGGCUAGGUAUCAAACUGGAACUGCAGCUGCUGGCCACUGUGGCCACAUCUGCAACUCAUGCCACAGCUCACAGCAACACUGGAUUCUUAACCCACUGAGCAAUGCCAGGGAUCAAUCUGCAUCCUCAGAGACACUAUGUUGGGUUCGUCACCCGCUGAGCCACAAGAGAAUCUCCUCUAUUCAUUUUUGUCCAUUUUCUUUUCUUUCUGCUCAUCAGACUCAAUAAUUCCAACUGACUGAACCUUCAAGUCUGCUGAUUCUUUCUCUGCUUCAUCAAAUCUACCAUUGGAACACCCUAUAGAAUUUUUCAUUUCAGUUAUUUUACUUUCCAACUCCAAAAUUCCAUUUGAUUUUCUUUAUGAUUUCUAUCCUUAUACUGAUAUUCUCCAUUGUUACAUCACUAACAUUCUUAGUCUAGUUUACUUCUUUUUCCAUCCAUUUGUUAGCACUUUGAAGCUAUGCAAAAUAUUUAAUUUAAAAUAUUUUCCUAUUAAUUCCAACCUCUGGGAUUCCGGAGAAAUAGAAAAGUUUCUGUUAAUUUCCUUUUUUACUGUGAAUGAGCCAUGCUUUCUUGCUUAUGUGGGUGUCUAUUACUUAUUGAAAAUUGGACAUUUUAAAUAUUAUAAUAAAUUUUAAAACAAGAUUUUCCCUUCUCCCCAAGAUUUGCUACUUCUUAUUGUGGAUUAUAGUCAUUUAUUUGUCUAGGGACUUUUCUAAACUAUUUUUGUAAAGUGUGUAAUUUUAUUCAUUUGUGUUCAUUAAAGUCCCUGUUCCCUUAGCUUAAUGGUCUGGUUAUUUGACAGUUUUCUAUAAAAGUCUGAUGUGAAUUCCCAUCAUGGUGCAGGGGAAACAAAUCCGACUAGGAACCAUGAGGUUGCGGGUUCAAUCCCUGGCCUUGCUCAUGGGUUAACGAUCCAGCGUUGCCAUGAGCUGUGGUAUAGGUUGCAGACGCGGCUCAGAUCCCGCGUUGCUGUGGCUCUGGUAUAGGCCAAUGGCUACAGCUCCAAUUCGACCCCUAGCCUGGGAACCUCCAUAUGCCGUGGAGCAGCCCAAAGAAAUAGCAAAAAGACAAAAACAAAAAAAACAAAACAAAAAAACAAAAAAACAAAACAAAAGAAAAACUACAAUGAGAUAUCACUUCACACCAGUCAGAAUGGCUAUCAUCAAAAAGUCUACAAAAAAAGUGAAUGGUGGAGAGGAUAGGGAGAAAAGGGAACCCUCCUACACUGUUGGUAGCAAUGUAAGCUGAUGCAACCACUAUGGAGAACAAUAUGGAGGUUCCUUAAAAAACUGAAAAUAGAACUACCGUAUGAUGCAGAAAUCCCAUUCUUGUGCAUAUAUCCAGAGAAAACUGUAAUUCAAAAAGACACAUGAACCCCAAUGUUCACUGCAGCAUUAUUUACAAUAGCCAAGAGUUGGAAGCAACUUAAAUAUCCAUCAACAGAGGAUUGGAUAAAGAAGAUAUGGUAUAUACAUACAAUAGAAUAUUACUCAGCCAUAAAAAGGAUGAAAUAAUGCCAUUUGCAGCAACAUGUAUAGACCUAGAAAUUAUUUACUAAGUAAAGUAAGUCAGAGAAAGACAAGUAUCACAUUAUAUCACUUAUAUGUGGAAUCUAACAAAAAUUGAUGUAAAAGAACUUACAAAAAACAGACAGACUCAAAGAUUUAAAAACCAAACUAAUGGCUACCAAAGGGGAAAGGUGGGGGAGGAGGGAUAAAUUGAGGUUGGGAUUAAAACUACUUUGCCAUACUUUGCAGAGUAAGGAACAUUAUGAGGAAUAAAGAGAGGCACUACAUAUUGAUAAAGAAUCCAAUUCCACAAAAAUACAUAAAUAGCAUUAAUGUGUAUAUGCCUAAAAACAAAGCAUUAAAAAACAUGAGGCAAAAACAGACAGAAGUGCAAGGAGAAAUGAAUGAAUCAAUGAUGACAUUUGGAGACUUCAGCACUCCUCUAUCAGAAAUAGAUCAAGAAAGAGUUCCCCUUGUGGCUCAGCAGUCACAAACCCGACUAGUACCCAUGAGGACACGGGUCCGAUCCCUGGCCUUGCUCAGUGGUUAAGUAUCUGGCAUUGCUGUGAGCUUUGGUAUAGGUUGAAGACAUGGCUUGGAUCUGGCAUUGCCAUGGCUGUGGUAUAGGCAGGCAACUGAAGCUCAGAUUCGACCACCAGCCCGGGAACUUCCAUAUGCCACACAUGCGGCCCUAAAAAAAAAAAAAAAAAAAA